rnacentral:rRNA from 1 species
UACGUAGGGGGCGAGCGUUGUCCGGAAUUACUGGGCGUAAAGGGUACGUAGGCGGUCAAUUAAGUCAGGUGUAAAAGGCAUAGGCUCAACCAAUGUAAGCACUUGAAACUGGUUGGCUUGAGUGCAGGAGAGGAAAGUGGAAUUCCCAGUGUAGCGGUGAAAUGCAUAGAGAUGACACAGAACACCGAUAGCGAAGGCAGCUCACAAAGCUAUAACUGACGCUGAGGCACGAAAGCGUGGGGAGC